GACCUGGUGGUGCUUGGUGCACAUUCACUGAUACUAUUGAGAUUGUAGUAAGGAAUUAGUGGGAGAUCCUUGUUCGAUUCGGGGCCAGGUCA